rnacentral:rRNA from 1 species
GACGACGCUGGCGGCGUGGAUUAGGCAUGCAAGUCGAACGGUAUCAUCCUUUCGGGGGUGAGAGAGUGGCGAACUGGUGAGUAACACGUAGGUUAUCUACCUCGAAGACGGGACAACCCAGGGAAACUUGGGCCUAAUACCGGAUGUGAGCAACUUUAGUUGUUUGAAAGGUGGCGUAAGCUGUCGCUUGGGGAUGAGCCUGCGUCCUAUUAGUUAGUUGGUGAGGUAACGGCUCACCUAGGCAAUGAUAGGUAGGCGGCCUUAACGGGUGGUCGCCCACACUGGGAUUGAGAUACGGCCCAGACUCCUACGGGAGGCAGCAGUCGAGAAUAGUCUACAAUGGUCGGAAGACUGAUAGUGCGACGCCGCGUGAACGAUGAAUCCCUUCGGGGUGUAAAGUUCUUUUAUAUGUGAGCAGUGCUUCUUAUAUUAACAGUAUGGGGAGAGAGAUAUUAGCAUAUGAAUAAGCAACGGCUAACUCCGUG